rnacentral:siRNA from 1 species
GGAGCCGCAUUGGUUGCCAUCGC